UGUGUUCGGAGCAGUAACGGAAUCAUAGCGCGAUCAAAAUAUGUAUUAAAAAUAAUAUUUAUUAUUCGAGUUGUCAUGGCGCUCGAUAGAUGGGGCUAAAAUCGAAAUAGAUCGCGCUAUGGUUUCGUUACAUCAAUUUGGUUAGGUCCGGCGUCAAUUUGACGUCGGUCGAGUACAAGUAACGCCCCUAGCGGGAAAAAGUGUAAUAAUUAAUAAAAGUGAGUGCAAUAACA